UUGCAUUGCGUUCCUGCUCAGCCACUAGAGUUCCUGGUUCCUCUCCGAGGGUUGCUAGGUUGACUCAGGUUGAGUUCUCUCCAACCCAGAGUGCACGUGCCCGGGAAGAAAUACCCUCAGUCCACCAACCCCCUUCGCCAGAGGAUAGAAGCAGAGAGGAGGAGGAGAAGGAAGAAGAGACAGCUGCAGCACUGCUCUGUCAUUUGUGAAGCUCCCCAUCCCUGCAGAUAACUUAAUCACCAGUAGCUGGAAGGAGCCCCAGAAUAGAUUAUGCCAUAUAUUCUCAUACAAUCCACUGCUAUCGCCAUGACUUGAGAAUUCAAGGUUCCUCUUGAGGAAUAAAAGUAAUUAAGU